AUCCAGCUGACGAGUCCCAAAAUAGGAGGAAACGCGCGUCCUGGAU
rnacentral:hammerhead_ribozyme from 1 species